rnacentral:snoRNA from 13 species
GUCCAGAAGACAGUGAUGUGGUAUUUUCCAAGCACAUAUCUGAUUGGCAUGUGUGGAAAUCAUUAUUUCUGAGUUUUCUGGAA